GCUUCCCUCUCUCUUCGUGCCUAAUACAUGCAAGUCGAGCGAACAGACGAGGAGCUUGCUCCUCUGACGUUAGCGGCGGACGGGUGAGUAACACGUGGAUAACCUACCUAUAAGACUGGGAUAACUUCGGGAAACCGGAGCUAAUACCGGAUAAUAUAUUGAACCGCAUGGUUCAAUAGUGAAAGACGGUUUUGCUGUCACUUAUAGAUGGAUCCGCGCCGCAUUAGCUAGUUGGUAAGGUAACGGCUUACCAAGGCAACGAUGCGUAGCCGACCUGAGAGGGUGAUCGGCCACACUGGAACUGAGACACGGUCCAGACUCCUACGGGAGGCAGCAGUAGGGAAUCUUCCGCAAUGGGCGAAAGCCUGACGGAGCAACGCCGCGUGAGUGAUGAAGGUCUUCGGAUCGUAAAACUCUGUUAUUAGGGAAGAACAAAUGUGUAAGUAACUAUGCACGUCUUGACGGUACCUAAUCAGAAAGCCACGGCUAACUACGUG
rnacentral:rRNA from 1 species